UACGAAGGGUGCAAGCGUUAAUCGGAAUUACUGGGCGUAAAGGGUGCGUAGGCGGUUCGUUAAGUCUGUUGUGAAAUCCCCGGGCUCAACCUGGGAAUGGCAAUGGAUACUGGCGGACUAGAGUGUGUCAGAGGAUGGUGGAAUUCCCGGUGUAGCGGUGAAAUGCGUAGAGAUCGGGAGGAACAUCAGUGGCGAAGGCGGCCAUCUGGGACAACACUGACGCUGAAGCACGAAAGCGUGGGGAGCAAACAGG
rnacentral:rRNA from 1 species